UACGUAGGGUGCAAGCGUUAAUCGGAAUUACUGGGCGUAAAGCGUGCGCAGGCGGUUAUGUAAGACAGAUGUGAAAUGCCCGGGCUUAACCUGGGAACUGCAUUUGUGACUGCAUGGCUAGAGUGUGUCAGAGGGGGGUAGAAUUCCACGUGUAGCAGUGAAAUGCGUAGAUAUGUGGAGGAAUACCGAUGGCGAAGGCAGCCCCCUGGGAUAACACUGACGCUCAUGCACGAAAGCGUGGGGAGCGAACAGGG
rnacentral:rRNA from 1 species